CCUACGGGAGGCAGCAGUGGGGAAUAUUGGACAAUGCGCGAAAGCCUGAUCCAGCCAUGCCGCGUGUGUGAAGAAGGCCUUCGGGUUGUAAAGCACUUUCAGUGGGGAAGAAAGCCUUGGGGCUAAUACCCUCGAGGAAGGACAUCACCCACAGAAGAAGCACCGGCUAACUCCGUGCCAGCAGCCGCGGUAAUACGGAGGGUGCGAGCGUUAAUCGGAAUUACUGGGCGUAAAGCGCGCGUAGGCGGUCUGAUAAGCCGGUUGUGAAAGCCCCGGGCUCAACCUGGGAACGGCAUCCGGAACUGUCAGGCUAGAGUGCAGGAGAGGAAGGUAGAAUUCCCGGUGUAGCGGUGAAAUGCGUAGAGAUCGGGAGGAAUACCAGUGGCGAAGGCGGCCUUCUGGACUGACACUGACGCUGAGGUGCGAAAGCGUGGGUAGCAAACAGGAUUAGAUACCCGGGUAGUC
rnacentral:rRNA from 1 species